AUGCCCAGCCCGCCCAAGGACCGCCCCGCCGGCCGCCUCGGCCGCCUCAUCUCCGCGCUCCGCCCCGCGCGCGCCGGCCCGCUCCCCGUCCAGACCGGCUUCCCCACCUCCCUCGCCGACCUCUUCGUCAAGAACCAUGGCCGCCUCAAGAAGCAGCAGGGGCCCUCCUCCGGCAGGCGCAAGAGGCGCGGCGCUCCCCCCUUGCCUUCCCCGGUGCCCUCUCCCCCGCCUCCCUCUCCUCCACCGCCGUCGCCCCCGCCGGCCGCCGUCUCCCCGCCGUCGGCCCAGCCAGGGCCCGAUCCUCCGCGGGCGGAGCCCGUCUGCCGCCCCGGAGGCCAAGCCGCCGGCCUCGGAUUGGGGUUCCUCGCGCUCGUCGGCGUGGCGUCCCUCGCCCUCCUCGUGAUCUGGAGCAGGAAGGUGGUUGCGGCCGUCACCGUCGCCGCCUUCUCGCUCUUCCUGCUGGAAUCCGUCAGGGCGUCCUCGCUUCGACGGCGGCCCCGGCCCCCGGCGCCCACCACGGAGCUGGAUAUCGACGGGCGCGGCUACGUCUCGCCGAUCCGGGAGCUGGAGGCGGAGCCGGAGCCGCUGGGAUCGAGCUUCUCCGACUCCGGCAGGGGGUUCAGCGCCUCCACCCUCGGCAUUGACGAGAGGAGCGAGGCCGGCGAGGAUUCGUGCGUUUGGGAGCCGAAGCCGAGGAAGAGGUCGCCGUGGAGGAAGCUGAUCCCCCGAAAAUUGCAGAGAGGCCGGAAGGUUGCCAAGGACUCGGGCUCCCUGUCAAGUUCUUUCCGGUCAAGUUCCUUCCGCAGCGAGGUCAGCCUAGCGGAUUCAACGGUCGGCGGCAAUGCAAUUGCCAGGGCGACGGAUCCCCCGGACUCUCGCCGCGGCAGACGCAGCCAAGCGAAUGCCAAGGGGGAGACCGCCGCUGCCAGAUCGCGGGACUCAUCGGGCCGUCUCCGCCUUGGCAUCAUGGGCGACGGCGACGGCGCCGGCAUCAAAUCCGCUGAUUCAUCGGGCCCUCUCCGCGGCAUGGGCGGCGCCGAGGUGCGCAACAACGGCGCUUCGAUAGAAAUCGAGGAGCCGGCCGGUGUCGCGGUGGCGGACGGCGUUGGCGUAGGACGAGGAGGAGGAGGAGGGUUUCCCUUGGCAGCUGUGACCGUGGUCGUCCUCGUAGGCUUGGUCGCCGGGCGGCUCCCGGCCGUGGCGCUCACCGUGCUGGUGUGCGCGGCGCUCCAGAGACUGCGGCGGGACGGCAAGGUUGAUGUAUGUAAAUUAGUGAGCCAUUCACGCCGCCAAUGGCCGGCCGGGCUGGUCUCCGCCAUGGCCACAGGGUGUUGGGACAGAGAGGACCAACUGGUCGAGUGCAGAUGGCACAUGCCCUGCAACCCCAACACGACGAGCAGAAACUUGGGCGUUUUAGCGAGAACGUAG
rnacentral:rRNA from 1 species